GACGAACGCUGGCGGCGUGCCUGAUACAUGCAAGUUGAGCGCUGAAGGUUGGUACUUGUACCAACUGGAUGAGCAGCGAACGGGUGAGUAACGCGUGGGGAAUCUGCCUUUGAGCGGGGGACAACAUUUGGAAACGAAUGCUAAUACCGCAUAAAAACUUUAAACACAAGUUUUAAGUUUGAAAGAUGCAAUUGCAUCACUCAAAGAUGAUCCCGCGUUGUAUUAGCUAGUUGGUGAGGUAAAGGCUCACCAAGGCGAUGAUACAUAGCCGACCUGAGAGGGUGAUCGGCCACAUUGGGACUGAGACACGGCCCAAACUCCUACGGGAGGCAGCAGUAGGGAAUCUUCGGCAAUGGACGAAAGUCUGACCGAGCAACGCCGCGUGAGUGAAGAAGGUUUUCGGAUCGUAAAACUCUGUUGGUAGAGAAGAACGUUGGUGAGAGUGGAAAGCUCAUCAAGUGACGGUAACUACCCAGAAAGGGACGGCUAACUACGUG
rnacentral:rRNA from 1 species